GCAAGAACCGACGCGGCGGCCAGGAACAAAGAUGUGGGUUUACAAGUCCGUAGGCGACCAAGAAAUAAGCAGGUUCAGUCUGGGCAAAGGCAUGGGACAACAAACGCAUAGGGAAAGUCACAAAAGCUGACAAAAAACCAGAGGGUGGAUACGGCAAGCUUCCCAAGAAAGGUGCAAGACAAUAGUCAAGAAACAAUUCAAGAGCCAGCAACUUUAUCUAGCAUCAUGGUUGUACAGGAGGCAAGAACAGGGAGAUCAGAUUUGGGGCAAAGAUUCAAGUCAGGCUUGCAACAUUUUUUGGCUACAUGGAGGCAAAUCUGCAAGUAGUAUAGCAAUGGGGGGUAGGUACAUCUGAGGAGUUCAACUAGCUAUAGUAGAACUAAAAAGAAUCUCCUGGUCAAAACAAUUCCAACGACCCUGUUACCUUUCUGGCAGUUUGCCCAGUUCUGGCAAUUUUUUUGCCCACAUUUUCUUCAGAUUGUUGCCUGAUCAGCACAAAGAGUUGCAGAGAAAGAUUGUUGACUGAUCAGCACAAAGAGUUGCAGAGAAGGUUGUGUUCUUCACGAUUU